CUACAAGCCAGGGCUACCUCUGCUCACAAAGUGGGUGGAGGCAAAAGGGCUGCCCAGAAUGUCCAAGCCAUCGCCUCGUGGGAAAACUUGCACUCAAACCACCAAGCAAGCCCACGUAGGUCUGAAGCCCAAGAUAGUGAGGGGGACGGGGGUGGAAAUCCUAAAAGCAAAACAGAGCCAUUAUGUCUCAGGCCUAGGGGCAGCCUGAGAGAUUCUGGUGCCCAAAACAAAUAACAGGAAAAAUAUGUCAGAUGUGUGGUUGCGGCAUAAAUCAUGAACAAAAACACAAUUCUAACACUCCAGAGAAGCAGGAGGAGCAGCCACUUAAGAACAAACCUAGAUAACGACUGAAUACAAGUUUCACUGCCUAGAGCCAGGCAGUGUAACCUAAUUUAUUCUAGGAUGUCAAGAGUGACUUGCCCUGGGAAGCUAUGCUGUGUUCCCUCCACCCCACCCCGUUUAAAUAAAGUAAAAUUUAUCUUAGAGAAAUUGGGGGCUGAUUCCUUCUGAGUAGAGCACUGACUAUGAGAACAAGGAGGGAGCCAGCCUGGAGCACUAAACUUUGGCUCUAUUUCCCCAGUUGUGUCUGAACCCUGCUUUCUAUUUCCUGUUCUGCCCCCACUGUUCAUAAGUGAGUCUUUGGAUUCAUCUGAUUUGUGCUUCAUGAGUUGAGCCCUCAUUCAUGCAACCUCUUCUAAUAGGGUGAAGGAACACCUGGUGGGUGAAGGCACAGUCCCUUAAUGCUCAGGUUCUGAGGUCAGUCUGCCUGGGUUCGAAGCCCACCCCCACCACUUACUUGUUGGAUAAUCUCGGACAAGGGGCUUAAUGACGCUGUACCUCCUCCCCUUCUCAGUGCAACAGGAAUAAAAAGAAAGCAGUCAAGAAGAUCAAAUAUCCAUGUAAGUCACUAAGCUGUCAUGAAAUAUUUGCAGAAUUGAAUGAAGAACAUAUAGAGAUGAGACAGAAAAGGAAGAACUACGGUCCAUAUAAUGCAUGAAGAGUAAGCCUGAAACCCCGACCCCUGGAUGACAAGAGUUGACCUAAAAAAACAACAGUGAUAAUCCCAUAGCCAUGCAUUUUCAUUUGAGGAAAACUAUUUUUAUACUUUAAAAGUUAACAGGAGAAAACAAUUUAGGGUGAGAAGUGAUCCAUUGGGCCACUUAUUACAGUUGCCAAAAUAGAGGCAUAUGGUCCAAAGUGGCCUUGGGAGAAUACAAAAAGAUCUAGAAAGGGCUUACUUGCAGCCUCUGAAUGUAGCCAUUCUUCCCUAUAUGGCAAGGAAUCCUCUUGGUCCAUUAUGGGGAGUUUAAAAUAGAGGAUACAGGAGCCAGCCUUCUCAGGAAAUGAGAGGCCCAGAAUGGAAUAGGAAGAGCCAGCUAUUCACUCUUAUGACGUUAUGUGAUUCUCAAAUAUUAUUGAAUCAUAACAGCCCUGGAGUUCCCAUCGUAGCUCAGUGGAAAUGAUCUGACUAGCAUUCAUGGGGACACAGGUUCAAUCCCUGGUCUUGCACAGUGGGUUAAGGAUCCGGCAUUGCCGUGAGCUGUGGUAUAGGUUACAUAUCCGGCUCGGAUCCUGCAUUGUUGUGGUUGUGGUAUAGGUCAGCGGUUACAGUUGUGAUUUGACCCCUGUCCUGGGAACCUCCAUAUGCCACGACUGUGGCCCUAAAACACAAAAACCCUAACAGCCCAAUGAAAUCUCCCAUUUUACAGAAAAGGAGAUUGAGGCCCAGGGAGGGGCCAAAAGUCAUGUCAUUAGUCAAGCGGAAAAUCUGGGAUUACACCCAGGUUUGUCUGAUUUCCAAGCCAGUGCACCCAAGCAUCAGGGGGUACCAGCCGCACACAUUUGGAGAAAGACAUCAAUUAAUCUACUAGACCCAUUAACAAGCCAGUCUUUCACUGAUGGCAGAGGGCAGUGAUGGUGAAGGGAUCUUUAUUCUUUCCCUUUCUGGGUCCUCCCUACCCACACAAUGCAGUUAUCCCCAGGCAUGCUUCUGCAAGGCAAUUUAAGGUUUCAGUGUCCCAUGAUGUCAAGCUGCCAAGCAGGAANNNNNNNNNNNNNNNNNNNNNNNACAAUGCAUCUUUCACCUAAUUAGUACCAACACACUUAGGGAUGUUAAGGGUGAAGUCUGACUUGUCAGCUGCUGGCAAACACAGACCCAUCAGUGUAAAUCUCAUCCCGGACAGGGGCCGGGGGUAUUUCCCAUUGAAGGUUGUUGUUCUUGGCUGGGUGAUUGACAAAACACGGUCCCUUCUCUUCUGCGUCUAAGGUUUUGGGAGAGUCUGGUGCUGCCUCGAGCAAGGCUGACUUCCCUUCCAGCGUAGAAGUUUCUUGUGAUUCUUUACACCUAGGAAGCCUGGCUCUGAGGGAAUGAAGCAAAGGGGCCACCCCUUCUUUCGUCCGGGAAUAGACGCUGCAUUAUGUCAACUGUCCCCCACUACAGAUUCUCUCUCCUAUUUACAAAAUGGAAACAGAUGAAUUCAAUCAAACAUAAGCCCCCCGAAUUAUGGCUUCCUUUAUACCUUGUGGUAAAGGAGUUUAUACAUAAUUGGCACAUGAUUUUCUCCAGUGGUUUCAAGUUGUUCCCAGUUGUAAAAAGGAACCUUUCAGUUUGGGAACGAGAUGGUUUUGUUUCAAACCAAUCCAUCAUGCCUUCCAAAGGCAAAGAGAGUGGGUCGGCUGAGGGAAACCAGGAAAGCAGCAGGCGGGUCAUGGCCUCAGCUGUUUUAAUUGGGUAAAUGGAGGCAGGCACUGAUCAAGGAGAAGAGGCACAAACCUCUUUUGAGCAGUUACGGUGGUUCUGGGGAAGGAGACCCUCCAUCCCACUGGGGAUGGAAAGCCACUGACGCCCUCACACUGAGCACUGCAGUCUCUCUUAACAGACUGUGAGAUAUAAAGGUAAGUCCCCCCUUUGUUCAGUCAAGGUCAACCAACACCCGAAGCCUUCAUGUUCUACAGACUCUGCAGAUCAAAAUCACCCACUGCCUGCAAAAGCCUGUUUACAUAAUUAGCUGGCACCAAAAAGCCACAGAAUCAUCGUUCAGUUAUAUUUACGCAAAUCUUUAAUGAAAGUCAACAUAGAAAACAGGGAAAGACCACUUUACCCUUGGCUUUAAAAAGCUGCGUUUGGAGCCCGAGAGAUUUUCCUAAAUUACUAUUAACAAAGUCAACAGGUUAAUAUGCUUUCAAAGCUUCAUCCGAAUGGGGAACCCAGAUAAUGAUCCUAUUACAUUAAGGUAAACAAAAGUGCAAUUGUGCUCACUCCAGGUUUAGGAGGCAUCCUCAAAGCUCUUUCAUAUUUCUUUGCCACAAUUUAGCAAAAGCCCAAAAUGUCCAACGUCACCAGAGAGGAUUGCUUACAUGUUGUGGAAACAACAGGUCACUCCAGGUUCUCAAGGCACUAAAGAUUCAUUUAGGAAUUUUACCAAGAUCAUAGGCCUCAGGAUGUCAGACUGCAAGCUCUCCUAGGUGAUGGUGGAUGUAAAUUCUGGAUGAUAGAACCACCAUGCAGUGAAGGAGCAUCUUCUGCAGCCUGUUCUUGAUUUCCAUUUGGGGGACAAAGAGGUUUAGUUAUCAAGCAAGUCUAGAUUGAUUGCGAAGUAAUUGUCUUCAAAGCUCAGGGAAUCCAAAUAUGACUCUGGGGGUUGCUGCACUGAGUUUGGCUUCCCUUUGAUCCCCUUCCCAGAUGAGUGGGAGCUGGGAGCUCUGGUCCACAGAGGAGAGCAUCCUGGGUGGCAGAAGCUAAAGGUCCCAGGAGAACCCUGGGUAUGUCGCUGAAAUCAAAGCCUAGAUCAUCAACCCAACUGGGGCCCGGUGGAAAGGCACCGCUGGAGGUACAACAAUAGUUCGGAGACUGUGAGACAGCCUCUGAGAGGAGUCCUUUGACCACCACUGAUAGGACCUGUUCUGCAGCCUCUAAGAGGGUCCUUGUGAUCCCUGCCUCCUGGCAUUAUGGCCUUGUGCAGUCCCAGCCCCAUGAUUGUGGACUGGACCUAGUGACCAGCUUCUAAAUAAUAGAAUAUGGCAAAAAUGAUGGGAUGCUACUUCCUCAAUGAGGUUACUGUCAAAAAAGUCAGAUCCGGAUAAAGUUAGAGAAGCAAAGACCAAUUUUAUUUAGGAACUACUUCAAUAAGGGAAGAGAGACCUCUGUUUUAGAACAGGGCUUGAUUCUGAAUUUGAGAAGGACAAGUGUGGCUGUACGGCCAAGGAGCAGAGUGGGGGUUAGGCAAUGAAAAAAUGUCCAAGGAAACACAAGGAUAAGAGAGAUCUGGCUAACCAGACCCAGCAGGCCUCUUGCUGAAGGUAGUUCAGGGUGAUAAGGAUACAGAGGGUUGGGGAUGAGGAAUCUGGUCAUAUACCAAGAGUAGGGGAUGCUGGUUAAAGGGACUCAUUAGGAUUCUUGCUAAAAUUGGGAAUAAGUGGGCCAAGGGCAAAGCCCAAGGUUGGGGCCUUAAGGGCAUACAGGAGCCUAGUUAGAAUUAGGUCAAGGUGAGAGUCUUGCUUAUUACAAAGGGAGUUGGCUUCUGUCCUGCAUGCCCUCUUGCUCUGAUGGAAUUCAGGUGCCAUGUCAUGAGCCGCCCUAGGGAGAGGCCCACGUGGCAAGGAAUUUAAAAAGGUCUUUAGCUGACAGGAAGCCAAGACCCAAGGCUCUCCGUCCAAUGGGCCUCGAGGAGUUGAAUUCUGCCAACAAUCACAUGAGCGAGCUAGGGAGCAGGUCCUCCCUCACCUUCAGAUGAGAACACAGCCCCAGCCAACACCAUGAUGGCAAACUUGUGAAAGAUCUGAUGCAGAGACACCCAGCCAAGCCACACCUGCUUUGCAGAAACUGUAACAAAAGAAACAUGUUAUUUUAAGCUGCUAAAUUUGGGGGAAGUUUAUCGUACAAUAAAAGUAAACUAAUAGAAGGCCUCUGUGUCCCAGAUGGGUUAGGGGGCCACUGAAGAUGCUCAUGGGCCUUGGGACUUGAUCCUCAGAGCCCCUGGGGUAUCUAGGGGGCUUCCCCAGUGGCCAGGUGCUUCCUUCCACUGAUACAGAAUGAAUAAGUAGGAGGCCUGCUGGGAUUCACCAUCAUCAGGUGACACAGCAAACCACAGCAGCCACAGCAACUGUGGACAUCAGUAUGAACCAAAGGAACAGAAAGGAAAAACUACCAGGGUAUUCUCUCCAGAGAGUUUUAUGGCUGAACAGAACAGAAUCCAUGUCCAGGAUAAUAACAACCACAUGGAAGAAAGACCUAGGUUGACAAAGUGUUUUAUAUCUGUGAUAGCAUCUAAACCUUACAAGCACCCUCCAAGUUUCUUCUUGGACCUUGAGGGACCAUUGGAAGGACUGGUAGAGAAGCACACUUUCCCACGUUCCCAAGGCAGAAGGAUGGCCCUUCUCUAUUUGAGGAGACUAAUCUCACUGACCAUGCACAGACCUUCAGGUAAGAAAGGAAGGGGCCUCCUGCCUGACCAGCCAGAAGGGUUGCAUCCUGCCAACCCGUCGAUCUCUGCCAACACAGAGAGAGAAAUGCUGCAGGCAAAUCACGUUCAUGCCUGCACCCCAGAGCAGAGGCCAUCUCCAAUUCUGCAGAGGAGGACAAUAACAUUUGCAGAGCUAGUCACAGGUGGCAUAGCCAGGACAUGGGACAUGUAGCAAAUGGGACCAGGUCCCACCUCAUACCCUGUGGCUUUUCUGCAUUCUGAGUUGAGCUGUUGACUAUUUAGCAUGCAAAUUCAGGCCUUUAGUUGACGGGAAGCCAAGACCUGAGGCUCUCCCAGGUUGCACUAGCAAUUUUCUCCAAGCCUCAGUAGGAAACAAACGAACCAGGAAAAUAUGACAGCAUUAGCAACGGGGCUUCUGCAUUUGGAACUGGGGUUUCUGCAUGUGGAAUUGUCUCACACCCUUUGAUGUAAGAGAUCAAAAUGAAUGGGCCUGGCCCUCAUUCCCAAUCCACGCUCCAGCUAAGUAUUGCUCUCCCUCUUCUCUACUCCGUAAUUCCAAUCAACCCCCGAUUAUGAUUUGGCCUCCUAAAUACGACGCACUUCUGUUUCUUCCCUCCGUCCCCAUUCACGCUGCCAUAGUGCAGGUGACACCUAUUCUUAAGGCUUCAUUACCAGUCUCUUCACCUCUGGGUUUGUGCCUCAUCCACAGAAGGAACUUAAGACCUAGAUCUGACCCCAUCACUUGCUUCUUUCAAACCUCACAAUGUCUCCCCAUCGAUUCUAGGAUGGCUCUUAUUUCUUAAAUAGUAGACAAAGCCUUCCAUGGAUGGCCUGACCCCCAUCCCUCGCAGCAGUCUCAGCUCUGACCUACUCCCUGCCUAUCCUCCAGUUUACGGUCCAGCCACUGUUGGAACUGCUUCUACUUCCUUACACUGAUCAUUCUGCCUCAUGUUCUAGACCAUUGCUAGCAUGGUUCCCUCUACGCGAACUGCCCUUUUCCUUGUAUACAGUUGACUAAAUCCUACUCCAUCUUUAAGGUUCAAGCAUCCUGCUCCUCCCACCACCCCUCCUCCCUUCUCCAAAACAGUCACCUGCUCCUCUGUGCUCCCAUUAUACUCUGGGCAUCUUCCCACCAUCACCUGACAUCAUAUUAUAGCAUUAUUAUCCAUGUGUGUGCCUGCCUCCUACGCCAGCUUGGGAUAGAAGACUGGGAGUGAAGCAUGCAGAGUACAGGAGGCUGACAGCGAGGCCUGCUGUGCAUGCCUUAGGGGGCAGGUAGAGCGCUCACACUCAAGGUGAAAAGCAAGACAGGUGGAAACAUGAAAAGCAAAGGUAGAGGGUCACACGAUCACCUGCUGUGGAUACAGAUUCAGGCUUGCUGGAUAGCUCUCUUCUCAGAGCAAAACAGGCAGACAACCAUACCCAGGGAGCAAAAAAAAAAAAAAAA
rnacentral:lncRNA from 1 species